CAGUCGCCGCGGGAAUACGAAGGGGGCUAGCGUUGCUCGGAAUGACUGGGCGUAAAGGGCGCGUAGGCGGCAUGUACAGUCAGACGUGAAAUUCCUGGGCUUAACCCGGGGGCUGCGUUUGAUACGUGCAGGCUAGAGUGGGGAAGAGGGUUGUGGAAUUCCCAGUGUAGAGGUGAAAUUCGUUGAUAUUGGGAAGAACACCGGUGGCGAAGGCGGCAACCUGGUCCUUGACUGACGCUGAGACACGAAAGCGUGGGUAGCAAACAGGAUUAGAUACCCGCGUAGUCCCUGUCUCUUAUAU
rnacentral:rRNA from 1 species